AUUAACGCUAGCGGCAGGCAUAAUACAUGCAAGUUGAACGGCAGCACAGGUAGCAAUACCGGGUGGCGAGUGGCGCACGGGUGCGUAACACGUAUGCAACCUACUCUAUACAGGCGAAUAACCUUUAGAAAUGAGGGCUAAUACGCCGUGGUAUUAUCUUGGGGCAUCUUGAGAUAAUUAAAGAUUUAUCGGUAUAGGAUGGGCAUGCGUCCCAUUAGUUAGUUGGUAGGGUAACGGCCUACCAAGGCUAUGAUGGGUAGGGG
rnacentral:rRNA from 1 species